UCUUGACUCAGAUCGAAUUCAAAGCAAGAAGAAAGUUCGAUGUUACAAACUUACAAUGAGAUCUCGAGAAUGGUUAAGAGUUGAUAGAUGAGGAAGUUGUAUGUGUUACUAUCUGACUUGAACCACGUAAUAAAUAUUGCAACAAGAAGAUUUGGAAUUGCAAUGAUGUCUACACUGAUGGCAAACCCACCCAAGGUGGUUUUGCUAAUUCCAUGGUUGUUGAUCAAAA